UCUCCCCAGCAGGAUUAAUGCUGCUGGAAAUCACGAGGGCUUGGACUAGCUAUCAACUUUAUCAGGAAAGCUUCUUUCCGGCCAAGCUUUGCUAAGCGGGAAUCUUGGGUUGGAGCUGCUCCUCUCAUAUUUCACAGAUGGCCUCAAUGAAUGAUUUACUAGGAGAGUAAAAGAUUAGCCAGAUUCCUCCAGCGGCAUCUUGAGUCGCAUAAAGCACUGGGUUUUACUGGGGCCUAGGCAAGCCCUAACUCUUUACCCUUGUUAGCCUGUUUUACAGUGACUAAUUGCCCGGCACUCCCUUCCCUGGGAAUGGGGAGUCUGCUGGUGAGGAACCCACGCUCCUCGCACGAGCAGCUUUGGAACAGCCACAGCAGCGAAGGCUUCUCCAUGCAGUCAGGCUAAAAGCUACCUAGGAAAAAGGAACGAGAAGAAACAGCCCUGACAGUCUUGUCCUCAAGGCACCAGAAGAAGUCAAAGCUGCUCAGUCUGCCCCAGAAGCACAGAGGAUCCUGUCUGAGCGUGUCCCGGAGCGUGGCAGCCCCGGCUUGCACCCAGCAUGAGGAUGAUUGCUCAGUGGUAAGGGUAAGAAAGGAAACAGCUGUGAUCCUGUUCUGGAGCAUUUGCUCUUAUUCAUCCCCUUAGAUGUAUCUCAAUGUAAAUAACCUUUCAUAUCAUUUUACAAAGUGAUUGCUGAGUGGGUUGGAGGAGAAGGGAUUCUGUAAUGUAAUAAUUUCUGUCUUUUCUCUUUAUUUUCCUGCUUGGUCAUAGAAAGGAAAUCUGGCUGGUUGUUAAUUUGAAAGCAUUUGGAGUGGUGAUGGCAUAGUAGAUAUGAAAUUUCACAGUGCUCUGGCAACUCCUAAUGUAUUGAGACUUUCAGAUGAAGAAAUGAAAGCUGCCUGUGAAGGAUUCCCAUUUGUCAUGAAAACCCCACAGUACUAUGGGACAGCUGUUUGCCUGGGAUCUGUAUCUCAGAUGUAAGGAACCAGAACAGACAUGUGCUCUGUUGUACAAAGACCAUAACCCCAGAGACAGGGAGAAGUUCUUUGGAGAAGGCAGUUGGCAAGAGCAAAAUGGGAAUGAAAGGGUCUUGAGGAAUAAUGUCCUGAAUGUGCUGCACAGUGCUGCCAGGAGCCAGGCAAGGCUGGUGACAGGGGGAUGCUGCAGGACUCCUCACUGUGCACCUUGCUUCAGACCCGGCCACAGACACGUUUCUAAGCCAGCCCUGCAAGCAACUUCAACCUGGCCACUGCCCAUCAGCACAAGGAGACU